rnacentral:rRNA from 1 species
UCCAGACUCCUACGGGAGGCAGCAGUGGGGAAUAUUGGGCAAUGGGCGCAAGCCUGACCCAGCAACGCCGCGUGAAGGAAGAAGGCUUUCGGGUUGUAAACUUCUUUUAAGAGGGAAGAGAAGAAGACGGUACCUCUUGAAUAAGCCACGGCUAACUACGUGCCAGCAGCCGCGGUAAUACGUAGGUGGCAAGCGUUAUCCGGAUUUACUGGGUGUAAAGGGCGUGUAGGCGGGUCUGCAAGUCAGAUGUGAAAUUCCAGGGCUCAACCCUGGAACUGCAUUUGAAAAUGUAGAUCUUGAGUGAUGGAGAGGCAGGCGGAAUUCCGUGUGUAGCGGUGAAAUGCGUAGAUAUACGGAGGAACACCAGUGGCGAAGGCGGCCUGCUGGACAUUAACUGACGCUGAGGCGCGAAAGCGUGGGGAGCAAACAGGAUUAGAUACCCGCGUA